rnacentral:lncRNA from 1 species
CUAGAAGCUGUUGAAGCCACAGGCCUGCGAAGGGGCAGGAAGAGAAUACUGGGGCGCAGACUAGAAAGACCCAGAAGAGGUUCUUUCUGAAGAACUGUGUUGAUGUUUCUCCGAACUGAGUCCAACUCCUGAUCCACCAUCACCCACCUGGUUCAUGUCAGAACCAGCACCUGUGCACACACAUCACGUGCACACAAUCAUACAGACACACCACACGCACCAUGUGUGCAUAAUCACAGACACACCACACACACACCAUGUGUAUGCAAUCACACAAACCACACGCACAUAGCACAAUCAGACAUACCACAUACAAUCACACAGACACACCACACACAUGCGUGCGCACACAGACACACCACACACACCACAUGCACACACAGAUACACCACACACACGUGUGCACAAUCACAAAGACACACCACGUACACACAAUCACACACAGCACACACACACAUGUGCACAAUCACAUAGACACACCACACACACCACAUGCACACAACCACACAGAUACACCACACACACCAUGUGUGCACAAUCACACAGACAUACCACAUACACACAAUCACACAGAUACACCACACACACCAUGUGUGCACACACAGACACACCACGUACAAUCACACAGACACACCACACACACCAUAUGCACACAAUCACAGAUACACCACACACACGUGUGCACAGACACACCAUGUACACACACACAGACACACCACACAUGUGCGUGCACACAAUCACAUAGACACACCACACACACCACAUGCACACAACCACACAUACACCACACACACCAUGUGUGCACAAUCACACAGACAUACCACAUGCACACAAUCACACAGACACACCACACACGCGCGUGCACACAAUCACAGACACACCACACACACCGCAUGCACACAAUCACAGAUACACGACACACACCAUGUGUGCACAGUCACACAGACACACCACGUGCACACAAUCAGACACACCACACACGCACCAUGUGCACACACAUGCAUGCACAUGUAUC